CUUUAUGCUGAAGCUUAUUAUCAUUGCUAGUAAAAGAUAACUUAUACCAUUCGAUAAACAACGUUAAAACAUUCUAAAAUUUUCCCAGCUAACCUGCUCUAGUUAUUUUGUUCCUCAAAAUUUCUAUUUAGGUAAGAUUGAAACAUUAAACUACUUAUUAAGGACAAUACAUAGUCACUCAACCUAUUUUGUUAAUUGUGAGAUUUUAAAAUUGCAGCAUGGAUCCCGAACACAAAAGGGAAUCAAUCGAGAAAUACCAGGGGCCUUCUCAGUCCUAAGAUUGACAUUUUUCUGGUAUUGGUGAACUUACAUGUGUCCAUUUACAUGGCAUUUCGAGAUUCUUGGAUCAUUUCUGCUCAUAUCAUAUGCUUGCUCUCGGUGCCUGGGUAGAAAGCUAAUUCACUGUUGAUUCGUCGUCUAGCUAAAGAAUAUGCAAGCUAGAAUAACUGGCCACUGCUGUACAGAACUAGGGAGCAGAGGUAGAUGUAAAAAGGCUAACUAAGAGGCCUGCUCCUCCUCGAUUUGGUCGCACCUUGACUGAAGCACAAAA